UUCUUCUUUUUUUGAAAGAAAUAUUGUUCUUUUUCUAUGAUGACGUGAUGACCAUUAUUGUUAGAGAGAGAGGGGAGAAGUGAGUGAGAAGAAGACCGACCGAAAAAAAAAAGGAAAAGGAAACAAGGGAGCGACGAAUUCCGGGGGCGCGGGCGGCGGCAUCCACAGCUACCUGGCAGGCAGGAAUCAUGGGGCCGCCGGCCGGCCGGCCGGCCGCGC
rnacentral:lncRNA from 1 species